rnacentral:rRNA from 1 species
UACGAAGGGGGCUAGCGUUGCUCGGAAUCACUGGGCGUAAAGGGUGCGUAGGCGGGUUUUUAAGUCAGGGGUGAAAUCCUGGAGCUCAACUCCAGAACUGCCUUUGAUACUGAAGAUCUCGAGUCCGGGAGAGGUGAGUGGAACUGCGAGUGUAGAGGUGAAAUUCGUAGAUAUUCGCAAGAACACCAGUGGCGAAGGCGGCUCACUGGCCCGGUACUGACGCUGAGGCACGAAAGCGUGGGGAGCGAACAGG